UGCAAGUCGAACGGGCACUUCGGUGCUAGUGGCAGACGGGUGAGUAACGCGUGGGAACGUACCUUUCGGUUCGGAAUAAUUCAGGGAAACUUGGACUAAUACCGGAUACGCCCUUUGGGGGAAAGAUUUAUCGCCGAUAGAUCGGCCCGCGUCUGAUUAGCUAGUUGGUGAGGUAAUGGCUCACCAAGGCGACGAUCAGUAGCUGGUCUGAGAGGAUGAUCAGCCACAUUGGGACUGAGACACGGCCCAAACUCCUACGGGAGGCAGCAGUGGGGAAUAUUGGACAAUGGGCGCAAGCCUGAUCCAGCCAUGCCGCGUGAGUGAUGAAGGCCUUAGGGUUGUAAAGCUCUUUUGUCCGGGAAGAUAAUGACUGUACCGGAAGAAUAAGCCCCGGCUAACUUCGUGCCAGCAGCCGCGGUAAUACGAAGGGGGCUAGCGUUGCUCGGAAUCACUGGGCGUAAAGGGCGCGUAGGCGGACUUUUAAGUCGGGGGUGAAAGCCCAGGGCUCAACCCUGGAAUUGCCUUCGAUACUGGGAGUCUUGAGUUCGGAAGAGGUUGGUGGAACUGCGAGUGUAGAGGUGAAAUUCGUAGAUAUUCGCAAGA
rnacentral:rRNA from 1 species